GCAGAAAUGAAGAAUUUCCAAGUGCCGAUACCUGACCAUAAAUGUUCAGGCCAUCCAACGACCUCUAAAGCAGUCUCAACCUCAGUGCAUUUUACUUGCAUAGCCUUUGAAGCAGAUGAAUCAUCAUGAACAGAUCUCUCUCAAUUUGUUAUCAUAUUUUUCAUCAUUGAUCUUGCGCUCUUCCUUCCGGAUCCUUACCGCAUGGUAUCGGGGAACACUGUCAUCGUACCUGGAGCGUUUAAAGAAUCCACACUGAAGAAGGGGGAAAGAGAAACAAAUUAAUCUCAAGAAAAAAAUGGAAAAUGGACUCAUUGCCAAUUCCUGUUUCCAUGGAUUUACACAUAAGAGAAGCAAAACAUGAACUUAAAAUCAACUGAGACCCAAGGUUGAAUAAAAUCUGGGAACAUGAAACAAGGUCAAGCUCCAUUACAACAUACCGAAAUAAAAACUGACCAGAGCA